GAGGAACACACCUUCUCUCGGCGUAUUCCCGGUAAAUGCACGCACGCAGUUCCUACCGGACAGGCUGGCUGUUGAUGUGACUUCCUGGUAGCAAAGCUUUAGCCCCGCCUCCCGCACCGCUGACCACCAGUAGGAACUCAUCUCCCGCUCAAUCCCCGACCAAUCACAGCAGCCCUCCAGGAGGAGGUGCUGCGGGACAAGGAGCGCCGCGCCCAGCAGCAGCUGGACCGCUGCGCCGAGGAGCGAGGGAGGAAGAUGGAGGUGCAGAAGAGGAAGGAGCAGCAGCGCCGGGCGGCCGCCGGCGAGAAGAGGCGCCAGCAGCAGGAGGCCGAGAAGGAGAGGCUGGAGGCCCUGGUCCGCCGGAGAGCAGGAGGCGCCGAGAGACGAGGAGGAGGAGGGGGAGGAGGAGGGGGAGGAGGAGGG
ensembl:lncRNA